GACGAACGCUGGCGGCGUGCCUAAUACAUGCAAGUCGAGCGCAGGAAACUGACGGAACUCUUCGGAGGGAAGGCAGCGGAAUGAGCGGCGGACGGGUGAGUAACACGUAAGGAACCUGCCUCAAGGAUUGGGAUAACUCCGAGAAAUCGGAGCUAAUACCGGAUAGUUCAUCGGACCGCAUGGUCCGUUGAUGAAAGGCGCUCCGGCGGCACCUGGAGAUGGCCUUGCGGUGCAUUAGCUAGUUGGUGGGGUAACGGCCCACCAAGGCGACGAUGCAUAGCCGCCCUGAGAGGGUGAUCGGCCACACUGGGACUGAGACACGGCCCAGACUCCUACGGGAGGCAGCAGUAGGGAAUCUUCCACAAUGGACGAAAGUCUGAUGGAGCAACGCCGCGUGAGUGAUGAAGGUUUUCGGAUCGUAAAACUCUGUUGUAAGGGAAGAACACGUACGAGAGGGAAUGCUCGUACCUUGACGGUACCUUACGAGAAAGCCACGGCUAACUACGUGCCAGCAGCCGCCGUAAUAC
rnacentral:rRNA from 1 species